UACAGAGGUCUCGAGCGUUAGGCGGAAUCACUGGGCUUAAAGCGUGUGUAGGCGGAUCGGUAAGUCCGCUGUGAAAGUCCAGGGCUCAACCCUGGGAUGCCGGUGGAUACUGUCGGGCUCGAGUCCGGAAGAGGAGUGUGGAAUUCCUGGUGUAGCGGUGAAAUGCGCAGAUAUCAGGAAGAACACCCGUGGCGAAGGCGGCUCUCUGGGACGGUACUGACGCUGAGACGCGAAAGCGUGGGGAGCGAACAGG
rnacentral:rRNA from 1 species